UGUAGGAGUGAGCCUGCUCGCGAUGGCGUAGUGUCAUUCAACAUCAUCGGCGUCUGACACGACGCCAUCGCGAGCAGGCUCACUCCUACA
rnacentral:antisense_RNA from 1 species